rnacentral:ribozyme from 1 species
UCGGUCACUUAACUUAAUACACUUUGGGUUUCAUUAUUGUUUUUUUCUCUUUUGUUCAGAUACCCUCCGAGUACUAAUGUGUGCGCAAACUUCAAAAUUUCGCAACCUCUCGCGGAGUGGUAUUUUUGAGAAGCCACCACUUUUGAUCUUGUAGUUUUAAAAUACCUAUUCUAAUAAACGAAGCUAAAAGACAAAAA